rnacentral:tRNA from 1 species
UGCCGUAGCUUAGGCGGUAGUGAUUAAGCUGCUUCCGAAGCUUGGGGCCGCGGGUUCGAAUCCCGCCCUGGGCAA